UGGGCUUGCCAAAGAUGGGCUUUUUUGCCCUG
rnacentral:piRNA from 1 species